GGGUCAGUAGGUUGGUCGUGCCACCGGUACGUACUGGUCUCACUGAUUCCUCCUUCCUGAAGAACCGUAAUGCCAUUAAUUUGGUGUUGCGGGGAAACAGGACUGUUACUUGGGAAAAAUUAGAGUGUUUAAAGCAAGCUAACGCUUGAAUACAUUAGCAUGGAAUAAUGAAAUAGGACGAUCGAUCCUAUUUUGUUGGUUUCUAGGAUUGACGUA
rnacentral:rRNA from 1 species